GACGAACGCUGGCGGCGUGCUUAACACAUGCAAGUCGAACGGGCCUGUCUUCUUUUUUGGGGGUGGGUUGAGUGGCGAACGGGUGAGUAUCACGUGAGUAACCUGCCCUUCGGUCCUGGAUAACCGCUUGAAAGGGCGGCUAAUACGGGGUGGUCCGGUUGGUCCGCAUGGGCUGGUCGGGAUAGAUUCACUGUUUUUGGUGUUUCGGCGGGGGAUGGGCUCGCGGCCUAUCAGCUUGUUGGUGGGGUGAUGGCCUACCAAGGCGGUGACGGGUAGCCGGCCUGGGAGGGUGGGCGGCCACACUGGGACUGAGAUGCGGCCCAGACUCCUGCGGGAGGCAGCAGUGGGGGGUAUUGCACAAUGGGCGGAAGCCUGAUGCAGCGACGUCGCGUGAGGGAUGGAGGCCUUCGGGUUGUGAACCUCUGUUUCCGGUGGUGAAGGCCCUGUCCGUGUGGUGGGGUUGACGGUAGCCGGGGAUGAAGCGCCGGCUAACUACGUG
rnacentral:rRNA from 1 species